UCUUAGUGGCGAACGGGUGAGUAACGCGUGAGUAACCUGCCCUGGAGUGGGGGACAACAGUUGGAAACGACUGCUAAUACCGCAUAAGCCCACGGAUCCGCAUGGAUCUGCGGGAAAAGGAUUUAUUUUGCUUCAGAAUGGACUCGCGUCCAAUUAGCUAGUUGGUGAGGUAACGGCCCACCAAGGCGACGAUUGGUAGCCGGACUGAGAGGUUGAACGGCCACAUUGGGACUGAGACACGGCCCAAACUCCUACGGGAGGCAGCAUG
rnacentral:rRNA from 1 species